CAUAUUAUCUCCUGCUCCUCUUCCCCCUUUCUAGCCACAGCAGAUCGGAAUCGGAGGUCCCGGUCAUCCGAUCCACCCGCCCCAGCCAGGUCGUACUCCGCCUCCUCCUCGUCGUCAUCUACGGGAUUCUGCUCGCCGCCUCUAUCGCGGCCUUCUCCUCCGCGCCCCAGGCCGCGCGAACGCCGUUCCCCUCCUCACCGACGGGAUCUGAACCGCCGGCCUCACCCGCGAGAACGCCGCCACCUACCUUAGAGAGAACGGCGCCACCGGCCGCAAGAUGAUUCAAGCUGAAUAUUAUCCUACAUGUUGGUUUUUUCUCCAUGAGAUCUGCUAUGUUCGUCUGGAUGCAUCCCAUGCCCGUCCGCAUCAUCACAGGUUAUUGGGUCAAUGUUAGGCCCCAGGCGGCGGGUUCAUAUGAGCGAAAUAUGAAAUCAAUAGGUACUCUAUUUUCCUUUAACAUUAGUUUCUGUGACUGGUUCAUGUGUGCUGAGCUCCUGUAUGUGAACAUAUAUUCAAACCAUGUGUAUUAGUUUCUAUUACUACUAUGUUAAUGAUGGCAGUUUAGAUAUCCCUGUGUUAGAUAAUUAUCAUAUUUAGAAGAUGAUCAAAUUUUCUUGAUUCAUUUGUAGCUCAUUGUCGGAUUAUGAUGCUGCUGCUGGAGAUGGACAUGCUGUUAAAUUUUUUCCUGGAGCUUGAAAUCCUUGAAUUGCUUACCAUGUUUUUUUUUUUGAAAUGGAAGUGCUUACCAUGUACUCUCUUUUAUAAACUAAAUACCUGUGGCUAGCACAGGGAGGUUGUCUUUGUGAUCAUCUACUCUUACAAGUAGCAACUGCUGAUAUACAAUUGCAGCCUUGAUCCUUUUAUGUGUCACACCAACCGUUAUUUUUCUGAACUUAGUUUCAUAACAGCUUGUCCUGUACAUGGAUUUUGGCAAGCAAUGCUUUAUUUGUGGAUCCAUUCAGCAGCGAGGUUAUGUUAUCUGUAUCUAGUCUUAUUUAUUUCUGAAAAACCUGCAUUUUGUAGGACACCUACGAGACUGGUUCAGAAAAACAGUAAGUUAAAGGAUGAGGUACGGUCACUGAAGGUACCCUUUUUUUACUGUUUUUUCUUUGACUGAAGGUACACUCAUCUUGCUAACUAAGUUUUUCACUAUUUGUGUGGAGUACGACUAUGCAUUGUGAAUUUGUGAUGUUCGCUCUAUCUGAAGAAACUCCUUAUAUUCGUAUUGCACUAUUCUUUCCCUUGAAUUAGGCAUCGCAAAGUCAGUGCCAAUUUUCAUCUACAUUAUGGCCUGAAAUCAUGCACGCCAUUAUCAUUGCUUAUUUGCUUACUCUCUAUUUUUGCUUGGAUUCACUACUCACUGCUCACUCUCUGUUGUUGGUUGAUUCUAUUGUGGUAGAGGCAACGCGGUGCUUAACGAUGGGGUGCUGGGGCGGAAGCAAGUGGAUACUCUGAGCUGGAGCAGAUGGUAUGCGGUGCUCGGCGACCACAUGCCGGAGUGCGAGGGAUGAGCCAGAUGCUGGAGCAGAGACGAUGUCAGAUCACGGCCGUGGUGACCGAUCAGCUGGAUCACGGCGCAGACGACGAACUAGUUUAGCAGAAUUCAAAUUCAUGUAUCAAGGGUAGAAAUGUCCGGUCAUUUCAUUUGCUUGUCCGCUUUACUUUGUUGCAUGAUCCAAAGAACUAGAUGGACUUGACUUUAGAUCACGGGCAGUUUAGUCUUGGCACUUAAUUAGGAUGGCUAAAUUAUAUUUGAGUUUCAUUUGAUGGAUAUUUACUGUGAGAAUUAUGAUUUUUAUGAAUCUGCAUAUUAUAUGUAUGGUUUUGAGUAUUGUAAUUGAA